rnacentral:rRNA from 1 species
CUUGAUCAAUUAUAAGAGGUCAAGCCUGCCCAGUGACAUUAUUCAACGGCCGCGGUAUCCUAACCGUGCGAAGGUAGCGUAAUCACUUGUCCUUUAAAUAAGGACUAGUAUGAACGGCUUCACGAAGGCUAUACUGUCUCCUUAAUCUAAUCAAUUAAACUAAUCUCCCCGUGAAGAAGCGGGGAUUCAUCUAUAAGACGAGAAGACCCUAUGGAGCUUUAAACAUCUAAGACACUUGAUUUUUACCUACUAAACUUCAUGCAACCUAUCCUUUUGUCUUAAGUUUUAGGUUGGGGUGACCACGGAGAAAAAUUAAACCUCCACGUAGAAAGAAAAUUCUUUUCUAAGCAAAAAGCCACAUCUUAACGCAUCAAUAUAUUGACUUAACUUGACCCAAUUUCUUGCUCAACGAAC